GAGGAAUUGGUUUCCUUUUACACUGAAUUUAAGGCAAAAUAAAAUUUUUUAAGAACUUUUUUAUACAAUGAGCUCUUCUAGUUCACUGAGUUAAAUACAAGCUUUUCUACUUUUCUUUAUUAAUAAUUUAGUGCACUUGAAGACUGCCAGAUUGUCAGUCCAGAAGGUGGAAUUUUUUAGUACGUUUUCAUGCAGAACAGGUACAGCAUGGGAAACAACUGUGCGUGCUACCUUAAGGUUGUUGUGUGGUGUGCUUUUUCUACUGCUCAAUCCCGGCUUUUCAGUGGCAGUAAAUCUUAGCACAAGCACUUGUGUAUACUGUAUAUGGAUGCUUAUUGUGAAGCAUCUGAAAAUUCUUUAUCAUCUAAUUUUUAAAUUAUUAUUCCAUAUUUGCUUGCUUGUUUUGAAUUCUGCAUGCUAACAGAUCCGUGCUCGAUUCAUUUUUUAAUAAUUGCCUGCAACCUGGCCUACCUGUAGGGGGAAUAUGUUUUCAACACCUUCCUUACCUAAAUUUUCAUCAGAGAAAGGUGUCAGGGGAAAUACUUGCUAUCAUUUCUUUUAUCUCCUGCUGUUAUUUUAGGUCAUUUUGAAUGAUUGAAAGCCACUUGGAUCAGAAUAGUUUGGUUUGCUGUCACUUUAAAAAACAAAUCCAAAUGCUUGUUUCAGUCAGAACUAAUCUGUAAUUGGAUGCCAUUCAGCAUAAGAUCUACAAAUGGAUUUUCCUAGUCUGAAACACCAGGAACAGACUACACUGGUUUUCCCCAGAAAGCUUUUCAAAAUUUCUUUGGAUAAUAAGGUGGAGCUGUUUCUUCCUGCUCUAGCAUGCAGAACUUGGUUACUUUCCAAUAAAUCUCUGAGAAAAAUUGUCAUUCUUGAUCAAGAAUCUUUUUCACAAAGAAAAAGAUAAAUCUGUUAUUCUAUUGAGGCAGUAUAAUUGUAAACUGCUUUUUGGUGAAAAUGAACCGAUAGUUUUUGUGGACCUGUAUAGACCUUUACAAAUCCCCCAGUGUCUUUG
ensembl:lncRNA